rnacentral:rRNA from 1 species
UUCCGGUUGAUCCUGCCGGACCUGACUGCUAUCGGAUUGGUACUAAGCCAUGCGAGUCAUUGUAGCAAUACAAGGCGGACGGCUCAGUAACACGUAGUCAACCUAACUCGUGGACGUGGAUAACCUCGGGAAACUGAGAAUAAACCACGAUAGAUCAUAGUGCCUGGAAUGGCUUAUGGUCCAAACAGUUUACUGCCAUGGGAUGGGACUGCGGCCUAUCAGCUUGUUGGUGAGGUAAUGGCCCACCAAGGCGAUUACAGGUACGGGCUCUGAGAGGAGAAGCCCGGAGAUGGGUACUGAGACACGGACCCAGGCCCUAUGGGGCGCAGCAGGCGAGAAACCUUAGCAAUGUGCGAAAGCACGACUGGGUCAGUCCGAGUGAUUCCUGAUAAAGGAGUCUUUUGCUUGUCCUAAAAGCACAGGUGAAUAAGGGGUGGGCAAGUCUGGUGUCAGCCGCCGCGGUAAUACCAGCACCUCGAGUGGUCAGGACGUUUAUUGGGCCUAAAGCAUCCGUAGCCGGCUUUGCAAGUCUUCGGUUAAAUCCACCUGCUCAACAGAUGGGCCGCUGGAGAUACUACAGAGCUAGGGAGUGGGAGAGGCAGACGGUAUUCAGUGGGUAGGGGUAAAAUCCUCUGAUCCAUUGAGGACCACCAGUGGCGAAGGCGGUCUGCCAGAACACGUUCGACGGUGAGGGAUGAAAGCUGGGGGAGCAAACCGGAUUAGAUACCCGGGUAGUCCCAGCUGUAAACGAUGCAAACUCGGUGAUGCAUUGGCUUAUGGCCAAUGCAGUGCCGCAGGGAAGCCGUUAAGUUUGCCGCCUGGGAAGUACGGACGCAAGUCUGAAACUUAAAGAAUUGGCGGGGGAGCA